rnacentral:rRNA from 1 species
CGUGUUUAAUGACAUGCAAGUCGCACGGAGGAUAUUUUAUAGCAAUAUACGAUAUUCUUAGUGGCGCACGGGUGAGUAACACGUGAAUGACAUGCCCUAUAGAGGGGGAUAGCCCAGGGAAACUUGGAUUAAUACCCCAUAGUAUCGCGAGAUUAAAGGUGGCCGCAGGGCUGUCGCUAUAAGAUUGGUUCGCGUUCUAUCAGCUUGUUGGUGAGGUAAUGGCUCACCAAGGCGACCACAGAUACCUGGUCUGAGAGGACGAUCAGGCACACUGGAACUGAGACACGGUCCAGACACCUACGGGUGGCAGCAGUCGAGAAUAAUUCACAAUGGGGGCAACCCUGAUGGUGCAACGCCGCGUGGAGGAUGACGGUCUUCAGAUUGUAAACUCCUGUCAUCUGGGAGUAAGGCAUGGGUGUUAAUAGCACACAUGAUUGAUAGUACCAGAAGAGGAAGGGACGGCUAACUUCGUGCCACAGCCGCGGUAAUACGAAGGUCCCGAGCGUUGUUCGGAAUCACUGGGCGUAAAGGGAGCGUACGCGGCGUGGUAAGUCAGAUGUGAAAUCCCGGGGCUCAACCCCGGAACUGCAUCCUAUACUGCCGUGCUAGAGAGCUGGAGAGGCAACUGGAAUUCUCUGUGUAGCAGUGAAAUGCGUGGAUAUCGAGAGGGAAGACCAAUGGCGAAAGCAAGUUGCUGGACAGUAUCUGACGCUGAGGCUCGAAUGCUAGGGGGAGCGAAAGGGAUUAGAUACCCCCUGUACUCCUAGCAGUAAACGGUGUGCUCUUGGUGUGAGAGGGAGUAGACCCCCCCUGUGCGGGAGAUAACGCGUUAAGAGCACCCCGCGUGAAGUACGGUGUCAAGAGUAUAACUCUAAGAGAAUUGACGGGGACCCGCACACGCGCUGGAGUAUGUGUGUUAUUUCGAUGCAACGCGAAGAGCAUCACCUAGGCUUGACAUGCAUAUCUAAGCGCGUGAAAGCGCGUGACCCCUCGGGGGAUAUGCACAGAUGUUGCAUAUCCGUGUUCAGCUCGUGUGUUGAGAGAUUGGGUUAAGUCUCCCAACGAGAGCAACCCCUGUGUUUAGUUUCCACCACGUAAAGGUGGGAAAUCUAGACAGACUCCCCCGAUCUAAUGGGAGGAAGGGGGGGGGGAGGUCAGGUCUGUAUGGCCCCUACGCCUAGGGGUGCACACGUACUACAAUGCCCAGUACAAUGAGAGCCGAGACCGCGAGGUGGAGGAAAUAAUUAAAAAAGGGGUCAGUUGUGAUUAGAGGAGGCAACU